ACCGGCGGCUCGAGUGGUGGCCACUAUUACUGGGCUUAAAGCGUUCGUAGCUGGCUUGUUAAGUCUCUGGGGAAAUCUUCCGGCUCAACCGGAAGGCGUCUCAGGGAUACUGGCAGGCUAGGGACCGGAAGAGGUGUGAGGUACUCCAGGGAGGCGUCCGCCAAGGACUGGUCCGAGAGUGAGGAACGGGAGCGGGGGUAGCAAACCGGGAUUGAUACCCUAGUAAGGCGGCUUACUGACUACCACAAGGUG
rnacentral:rRNA from 1 species